rfam:Paenibacillus mucilaginosus 3016, complete genome.
CCUAACUCUGCUUCCGAAGACUGCGGCGGGGAGCCAUGUUGUUCCCGCGGGGUCUCGUUAAUACUCCUGCAUGCCAAGAGCGCUCAGCCGUUCUUGGUAUGAAGCCAGGUGAAGUCGGCAGAAGGAAGGCCGAGCCGCUGCUUACACGGCAGCGGCGGCGGACCGAUAUGCCGGACGGCUGAAAA